UCGGUGUCCGGCCGGCAGCCGGCGCCAGCGGGUGCUCAGCCGUCGGCGGGUCAGCACAGCCGCAAACUGGCGGAUCUGGGACAAGCGAGCAGCAUGACAAAGAGAAAUGGAGGGAGAAGGAGUAGAGACACCUGUAGCACCGCUCUCUCCUAUGUGAAGAUUCCCCCCCACAGGCAGGUGUCCCAAAACAUUCAGAGGUUCAAAGUCAGCCCACCAUGGAAAGGACAGUCCUCACCAGAGAAGAGACUGGUAGUGAGAAUGAUGUUCCACACCCAACGCUCGCCUCCAAUCUGCUGGUAGAAGUGGCUGGACACG